rnacentral:rRNA from 1 species
AUUGAACGCUGGCGGCAGGCCUAACACAUGCAAGUCGAACGGAGCGGCGGUCGGGGGCGUAAUACCUAGGAAUCUGCCUGGUAGUGGUGGAUAGCGUCCGGUAACGGGCGCUGAUACCGCAUACUCUCGGAUUAGCCUAUGUCGGAUUAGCUAGUUGGUGGGGUAAAGGCCUACCAAGGCGACGAUCCGUAACUGGUCUGAGAGGAUGAUCAGUCACACUGGAACUGAGACACGGUCCAGACUCCUACGGGAGGCAGCAGUGGGGAAUAUUGGACAAUGGGCGAAAGCCUGAUCCAGCCAUGCCGCGUGUGUGAAGAAGGUCUUCGGAUUGUAAAGCACUUUAAGUUGGGAGGCGUUACCAACAGAAUAAGCACCGGCUAACUCCGUGCCAGCAGCCGCGGUAAUAC